GUCUCUGUGGCGCAAUGGUUAGCGCGUUCGGCUUUUAACCGAAAGGAUGGUGUUUCGAGCCCACUCAUGGACG
rnacentral:tRNA from 1 species